GACCGAACUUAUGCAGUGGACACCGGGCACCGACCCUGUUUGAAGAAAUCGCGGAUGUCAUGGCCAUCCUCGUUCCAAGGACUUCGACGAACCGCCUCACUUCGUCGGGGCAUGGACUCCACAAGGUGUUGAAAGCGUUCCACAGGGAUGCUGGCCCAUGUUGACUCCAAUGCUUCCCACAGUUGUCGAGUUCACUGGAUGUCUGUGUGGUGGACCAUUCUUGAUACACAUGGGUGUAAAAAAAACAGCAGCGUUGCAGUUAUUGACACAAACUACUACCAUACCCCGUUCAAAGGCACUUAAAUAUUUUGUCUUAACCAUUUACCCUCUGAAUGGCACACAUUUGUCUCAAGGCUUAUAUUUGAACCUAUCACCUCCCCUUCAUCUACACUGAUUGAAGUGGAUUUAACAAGUAACAUCAACAAGUAUAUCAUGGCAUUCACCUGGUCAGUCUGUCAUGGAAAGAGCAGGUGUUCUUAAUGUUUUGUAGACUCAUAGCCUAACUUGUGUGCAAUGAUGUGCCUGACUGGGCAAUUUAGUGCAUUUUUAUUGGGUAAGCAUUAGAGUUUAACCUGGUUACUGAGUUUUACAGGGAUUUACCACCCAAAACCACUCUAUUUUCCAAGGAUAAAUAACUGAGAGAAACUGGUAAAUUAUAAUAAAUGACUUAUAUGAACAGCAUGGUGUGAAAUGGAACUGUUAAAUUAUAUGCACGUUUAAAUCUGACUUCUCUAUGGCCUCUGCGUGAAGAAUCUUCAAUGCUCAGGGUGGGUACAGACAGCCCAUCUCAGUAUUGAGCACAGUUCACAAUGUAUGUAGACCUAUACUGUCAUCUCAUCGUAACUUUUGUUUCUUGUGAUAGCUAGGUCUGCAUUUGUUACAGCAUAGUCUAUGCUACAGUAAUAUAAAGACAGAAUGCCCGUCUAAUUUAUCCAUCUCCAUCUCCAUCUUUCGGGGUCACCUUAUUUUUUAAUUGUAAUUUUUAUUUUGUGUCAUUUGUGCUCCUUCUGGCCUCUAGGUCACCAGGCUGCUCGUUAGGGCGCACACCUGUCACCAAUGUUACACGCAUAAUGACACACCUGGACUCCAUCACCUCCUUUAUUACCUGCCCUUUAUAUGUCACUCCCUUUGGUUUCUUCCCCAGUUGUCAUUGUUGCUGGUUUGUGUUUCUUGUUUUGUUAAUUAAUUAAAUGUAUUCACUCCCUGAACUUG